AAAUCCACACCCAUAAACACUUGCACACAGAGCAGCCACACGGAGCCUCCUCCCAGGCCCAGGGUCUGCAGGUGCAGGCUCCAAUUACAGCAGCCAGCUCCUGUACCUUUUCAUCCUGAACAACAGCUACAGCCUGGGAUGGAGGAAGGUCCCGGAAGGAGAGCCGACUGCGGAGAACAAAGCCUGCCCAAAGAUUGCUUGUGCUGCUUGAGAAACUUUACAAGAGCUACGCCACAGCCCCCAUGAUGCAACUGAACCUUGUUCAAUAACGAUUGCUGCAAGCAAAUUAUCUUAGUGGACCAUAACAUUUUUUUUUUCCUUUGACUUUGGAAAGAGAUUCCAAAAACAACUUAGAUACCUAAGUUCUUUGAAGCUAGGGCAGCCAUGUCUGCCGUGUGUGUCACCAUGAGGCUGCAUGUGACUUGAUGGCUGGAGGGGGAGGGGGCAAGAGUCUCUCCUCUGUAUUCUAAGAUCCUUUGUCAGUGUGAACUGUUCUCUUCUCGUAUGUGUGUGGUUACCAUUUCCACUGAAAGUCGUAGAAGCUGACACUUGAAGGUGAAAUGUCUUGCUUAAAACACUCCCCGAUCUACUCUCUAGUGGACAGGAAGAUCAAACCAGGGCCAGAGACCCCAUCCCAUUUCCUGACUUUCAUGGCAGCUGUGAUGUAUUCCGAGGGCCACUCAAGUGUAGCUGCUCUGUUCGGGCCAUGUUCUUCCUACCACGAGGGCAUGUGUGAAAAGCCAUAUACUCAUUUUUUUUGAGACGUUUAAACUACUUUUUCCUUAAAUCAGGCUAAGACAGAGUCCUUCACCUACAUCCCACCUCUACUUAAAAAACAGAAAAGAUAAUAGAUGACAGCGUCUGUGAGAUGCCUCUGUGACAACCACUCUGAGCUGCAGCUGUUGGUCUCAGCAGUUAUUGCUCUUGGAACACUCCACAGGAAAGGCUAUCAUCUUCCGGCACUAGAACACAGAACUGUUAGUUAACCUGCCCAAGGUCACACAGGAGUCAGCCACAGACCCAGUUGGAGUCCAACGUCAAACACUUCUCAGCCUCUCUUCCUUCCCCACCACCGGCAGACUCGGUCCACACAGCUGCUUGGUACUUGCUCACUCAGUAAAUAUUUACAUCUUUUAGCAUCUUUCCAGCUGCAUUUGGGAGAUGGGAGGUACUCUCAUGUAGCUGGACAUGCACGUAAAACAGUUGGAGAAGAUGUAAACUUGAAUUAUAUAGACACAGUUAUAUA